AUGAACGCUGGCGGCGUGCCUAAUCCAUGCAAGUCGCGCGAACGGACGAGAAGCUUGCUUCUCUGAUGUUAGCGGCGGACGGGUGAGUAACACGUGGAUAACCUACCUAUAAGACUGGGAUAACUUCGGGAAACCGGAGCUAAUACCGGAUGAUAUUUUGAACCGCAUGGUUCAAAAGUGAAAGACGGUCUUGCUGUCACUUAUAGAUGGAUCCGCGCUGCAUUAGCUAGUUGGUAAGGUAACGGCUUACCAAGGCAACGAUGCAUAGCCGACCUGAGAGGGUGAUCGGCCACACUGGAACUGAGACACGGUCCAGACUCCUACGGGAGGCAGCAGUAGGGAAUCUUCCGCAAUGGGCGAAAGCCUGACGGAGCAACGCCGCGUGAGUGAUGAAGGUCUUCGGAUCGUAAAACUCUGUUAUUAGGGAAGAAUAUAUGUGUAAGUAACUGUGCACAUCUUGACGGUACCUAAUCAGAAAGCCACGGCUAACUACGUG
rnacentral:rRNA from 1 species